AGCUCUUGCAUGAGGCACCUACAGGCAGAGGAUUAAUUAGGUUUUCAGUUUCAGUUUCCCAGAAAGGAGGUGGGCUUUUUUUUCACCCUGCUUUAAAAGCCCUUGGGCCCUUCCCAGCUGGGUGCCAGCCAACUGUGGCUGCCUGGGACACUCCAUCUUAAGUCCCUGUGCCUCUGCUGUGUGUUACUGAGUGCCUAGGCCGUGCCAGCCUGUAUUCAUCUGUACUAUGACCUGAAGAGGCAGAGGCCAUCACUGUUGGUCCGGUCUCCACCUGGGGAAACUGAGGUGUCUCUGUGGUGACGAGCAGGGCUUCAUCCAGUGCCUCUGUCCCCACCGAGGGGACUAUGGGAGACAUGGAGGGUGUGUGAGCAACAGGUGAGACUGGAGCCAGCUGAAAACUGGGAGACCGACCCAGCCAACAAACAAUGUCGGUCUCUGUCUUGGCACCUGCAGGAAACAAGCUCCUACUUCCAGAAAAAGUGCUCCUGGGACUCCAGGAUACCAGAUCCUUCCCUGGCACCGGUUCCAGGAGGACCUCGUUCUUAGGCAGCAUCUGUGUCUCUGUUUUGUAAGACACACAGAGUAUCCUUAACCCACUGCAGAUAUUUCCCUGGGUCCAUGGUCAAUCAACACCACCUUUCAGUCUCCAGCCUCUUAACCAGCCCAGGGCUGAGUGUUGUUUAUAGUAUUAAUAUGUUUCUGGCUGGGCUCAGUGGCUCAUGCCUGUAAUCCCGGCACUAUGGGAGGCUGAGGCAGGCGGAUCACUUGAGGUCAGGAGUUCAAGACCAGCCUGGCCAACAUAGUAAAACCCCGUCUCUACUAAAAAUACAAAAAUGAGCCGGGUGUGGUGGCGUGUGUCUAUAAUCCCAGCUACUCGGGAGGCUGAGGCAGGAGAAUUGCUUGAACCUGGGAGGUGGAGGCUACAGUGAGCUGAGAUCAUGCCACUGCACUCCAGCCUGGGCAAGAAAGUGAGACUCCAUCUCAAAACAAAGAAACAAACAAAGUAUUAAUAUGUUCCCCUUGAUCAGUGGGGUGGUUCACCCUUGUAAUCCCAGCACUUUGGGAGGCAGAGGCUGGCGGAUCGCUUGAGUCCAGGAGUUCGAGACCAGCCUGGGUGAACUAGCAAAACCCUGCCUGUACUAAAAAUACAAAAAUUAACUGGGCUUGGUGGUGCGAGCCUGUAAUCCCAGUGGAGGCUGAGACAGGAGAAUCCUUUUGUAAUGCCUGACCUUGUUUUUUUACUAACCCUAUUUUAACCUUGUUUUUACUAACCCUAUUUUUAAAUUUUCCCUUUUUGUCUCCUUAAUUACCUAGCCUUGUUUCCCAUAUGAGUAGACUCUCCCUUAGCUGGGAAAGCCUGACGAACGCCAUCUGGCCCCUUGAUUUACAAGACAUUAAGGGCUACUUACCCAACCCCCUUCCUCAAAGAGUUAACCUGCGUAAGCAGAUCCUCAGCAUUUCAAAGGAGCCCAAUUAGCUGAUAAGGUACUGGAACAAACAAUGUACGAAGUUCCCAGGAUUUUGCUCAAAAGCAUAACAACAUAAAGCCUUGAGUCUGUGUCUGGCAUAGCAUCCAUAUCUAACUCUUAUGAAGGAUUUAGAGCCCGGCACCUGGUUCCGUUGCUUUUUUUGUAACCAUUUGUCUUUUAAAUUGUUUAUUUCUCUGUAACCAUUUGUUUUUUGAUUCUUGCAUGUUUUUACUUCUGUAGAAUUAUUGCAUUUGAGCUCCGCUCCCCUUCCGAACCAAGGUAUAAAAGUAAAUCAAGCCCCUUCCUCGGGGCCGAGAGAAUUUUGGAAAGUCAAGCCUUCUCUUGGCUGCCGGCUUAAAUAA
rnacentral:lncRNA from 1 species